UUUUUUUAAGAGAAUUUUGAUUAAUUUUUUUGAUCUAUGCGUUUUAAUUUGAAUUAAUUUAAAUCAUUAAAUUAGAGAUUUAUUAAAUUUUUAGUGUUUCUGUUAAAUUUUAUAUCUCUAACUACUACUCUAGCUAAAGAAGGUAUGGAUUUCUUUUUUGAGAGAGAUAGGUAACAUGCUACCCGCUUCGUUUAUUUCAUUUAGAAAUAAACUUUGCUGGAAAUGUGAAUUAACUAGAAUUCGAACUUGGGACCUUAAUUAUCAACCACUAAGCCCUUUGCCACUUGCGUUAGAGAUGGUCGGUAAGGUAUGGAUUUCAUUAGUGGUUAACAACUAACAGUUAAUAAAUCUACACAUCUUUUUAC
rnacentral:lncRNA from 1 species